AUUCUGCCCAUGCGGGGAAGGAUGAGAAGCUUCGACCAAGGUUCGACUCGAGCGCCAGCGAGAGAGAGUGGCCGCAGGCAACGACCCGAAGGGUGAAGCGCGCAGCGCUGAGUAAUCCUUCCCCCACCACCA
rnacentral:sRNA from 1 species